rnacentral:rRNA from 1 species
GCAGCAUUUUAGUUUGCUUGCAAACUGAAGAUGGCGACCGGCGCACGGGUGAGUAACACGUAUCCAACCUGCCGAUAACUCCGGAAUAGCCUUUCGAAAGAAAGAUUAAUACCGGAUAGUAUACGAAUAUCGCAUGAUAUUUUUAUUAAAGAAUUUCGGUUAUCGAUGGGGAUGCGUUCCAUUAGUUUGUUGGCGGGGUAACGGCCCACCAAGACUACGAUGGAUAGGGGUUCUGAGAGGAAGGUCCCCCACAUUGGAACUGAGACACGGUCCAAACUCCUACGGGAGGCAGCAGUGAGGAAUAUUGGUCAAUGGGCGCGAGCCUGAACCAGCCAAGUAGCGUGAAGGAUGAAGGCUCUAUGGGUCGUAAACUUCUUUUAUAUGGGAAUAAAGUUUUCCACGUGUGGAAUUUUGUAUGUACCAUAUGAAUAAGGAUCGGCUAACUCCGUGCCAGCAGCCGCGGUAAUACGGAGGAUCCGAGCGUUAUCCGGAUUUAUUGGGUUUAAAGGGAGCGUAGGUGGAUUGUUAAGUCAGUUGUGAAAGUUUGCGGCUCAACCGUAAAAUUGCAGUUGAAACUGGCAGU